rnacentral:rRNA from 1 species
UUCUGGUUGAUCCUGCCGGAGGCUACCGCUAUUGGAGUUCGAUUAAGCCAUGCGAGUCGAGAGUCUUAGGGACUCGGCGUACCGCCCAGUAACACGUGGGUAACCUGCCCUAUGCUGGGGAAUAACCUCGGGAAACUGAGAAUAAUACCCCAUAGUUCACCACGCCUGGAACGGUGGGUGGAUGAAAGCUCCGGCGGCAUAGGAUGGGCCUGCGACGUAUCAGGUUGUAGGGGGUGUAACGUACCCUCUAGCCAUCAACGCGUACGGGUGUUGGGAGACAUAGCCCGGAGAUGGAUUCUGAGACACGAAUCCAGACCCUACGGGGUGCAGCAGGCGCGAAAACUUGGCAAUGCGAGCAAUCGUGACCAGGGAACUCCAAGUGGCUGGGGUAAUACCCAGUUUUUUCUUGACUCUUCAAAGGUCUUGGAAUAAGGGGUGGGUAAGGACGGUGCCAGCCGCCGCGGUAAUACCGGCGCCUCAAGUGGUAGUCGCUUUUAUUGGGCCUAAAACGUCCGUAGCCGGUCUGGUGCAUUCGUGGGUAAAUCAACCCGCUCAACGGGUUGAAUUCUGCGAGCACGGCCAGACUUGGGACC